UACGUAGGUGGCAAGCGUUAUCCGGAAUUAUUGGGCGUAAAGAGCGCGCAGGUGGUUGAUUAAGUCUGAUGUGAAAGCCCACGGCUUAACCGUGGAGGGUCAUUGGAAACUGGUCGACUUGAGUGCAGAAGAGGAGAGUGGAAUUCCAUGUGUAGCGGUGAAAUGCGUAGAUAUAUGGAGGAACACCAGUGGCGAAGGCGACUCUCUGGUCUGUAACUGACGCUGAGGCUCGAAAGCGUGGGGAGCAAACAGGAUUA
rnacentral:rRNA from 1 species